CGCGUAGGCGGCUCUUCAAGUCAAAGGUGAAAUCCCUCGGCUCAACCGGGGAACUGCCUUUGAUACUGUCGAGCUUGAGUCCCGGAGAGGGUAGCGGAAUUCCGAGUGUAGCGGUGAAAUGCGUAGAUACUCGGAGGAACAUCCGUGGCGAAGGCGGCUACCUGGACGGGUACUGACGCUGAGGCGCGAAAGCUAGGGGAGCAAACA
rnacentral:rRNA from 1 species